UAGAUGCGAGAGUAGAGCAUAUCAAUAAGCGGAGGAAAAGAAACUAACAAGGAUUCCCUUAGUAACGGCGAGUGAAGGCGGGAAGAGCUCAAAUUUGAAAUCUUCAAGGUUCUACCUUGACGAAUUGUAGUUUAUAGAAGUGUUUUCUGUUAGUAGAGUGGCAAAAGUUCUUUGGAAUAGGACAUCAUAGAGGGUGAGAAUCCCGUAUUUGGUCAUUCUUUCUAGCUUUGUGAUACACUUUCAACGAGUCGGAUUGUUUGGGAAUGCAGUCCAAAAUGGGUGGUAAAUUUCAUCUAAAGCUAAAUAUUGGCGAGAGACCGAUAGCGAACAAGUACCGUGAGGGAAAGAUGAAAAGAACUUUGAAAAGAGAGUUAAACAGUACGUGAAAUUGUCAAAAGGGAAGCGUUUGACACCAGUGUUGUUUUUCCGAAAAUCAAUUACGAAUGUUUUAUUUUUGAGAAGUUAUGACUUCAUCGGCUUGCUUCUCUCUUUAUGAAACUUUCUUAAUGCACUUUUCGGUUAACAAGUCAACAUCAAUUUCUUUUGUUGUAAAAGGGUAUGAGGAAGGUGGCUUUCUUUUCGGAGAAAGUGUUUAUAGCCUUGUACCUCUGCAAUCGGAGAGAUUGAGGUCUGCAGCGUAGAUCCUUCGGGGUUAGAUACAUUGUGCUAAGUUAUAGCUUUUCAUAGACAACUUGUUGACUAUGUUAAGUCUUGUAGCUUACUCGCUUAUGCUAUUUUACCUACGCUUAGGAUGUUGACGCGCGUGUGUGCGUG
rnacentral:rRNA from 1 species